rnacentral:rRNA from 1 species
AGAGUUUGAUCAUGGCUCAGAUUGAACGCUGGCGGCAUGCUUUACACAUGCAAGUCGAACGGCAGCACAGGGAGCUUGCUCCCGGGUGGCGAGUGGCGGCACGGGUGAGUAAUACAUCGGAACGUGUCCUGUUNUGGGGGAUAACUGCUCGAAAGGGUGGCUAAUACCGCAUGAGACCUGAGGGUGAAAGCGGGGGAUCGCAAGACCUCGCGCAAUUGGAGCGGCCGAUGCCCGAUUAGCUAGUUGGUGAGGUAAAGGCUCACCAAGGCGACGAUCGGUAGCUGGUCUGAGAGGACGACCAGCCACCACUGGGACUGAGACACGGCCCAGACUCCUACGGGAGGCAGCA